GACGAACGCUGGCGGCGUGCUUAACACAUGCAAGUCGAACGAAGCUUGAUUACGGAUUCUUCGGAUGAAGUAUGAUAUGACUGAGUGGCGGACGGGCGAGUAACGCGUGAGUAACCUGCCCUUCAGAGGGGGAUAGCGUUUGGAAACGAACGGUAAUACCGCAUAAUGUAUUUUGACCGCAUGAUCGAAAUACCAAAGAUUUAUCGCUGAAGGAUGGACUCGCGUCUGAUUAGGUAGUUGGUGGGGUAACGGCCUACCAAGCCGACGAUCAGUAGCCGGACUGAGAGGUUGAUCGGCCACAUUGGGACUGAGACACGGCCCAGACUCCUACGGGAGGCAGCAGUGGGGAAUAUUGCACAAUGGGCGCAAGCCUGAUGCAGCAACGCCGCGUGAAGGAAGACGGUUUUCGGAUUGUAAACUUCUGUUCUUAGUGAAGAAUAAUGACGGUAGCUAAGGAGCAAGCCACGGCUAACUACGUG
rnacentral:rRNA from 1 species